UGAGCUCACUUCCUGUCGCUGGGUGAGCGAGAGUGAUCGGGAUCGGAAUCGGGAUUGGGAUCGGGAUCGGAAUCGGGAUUGGGAUCGGAAUCGGAAUCGGAAUCGGCCGUUCCUCAGCAAUGUCUAUUACCGACCUCAGUUCCUCCGCCUGACACCACAGCUUUAUCACCAAGCAGAGUUAAUGAUAUCAUCGCAGAGCCAGUACACGGGAUUCGGAAUGGGCUUUGGUAACUUGCCAUUGAGCACUGGUGGGUUGCCUGCCUUCAAAUUCCGUUCAAGACACGAAAGCGUAGAUUGGAGGCGGUUCAGUGCUAUAGACGUGGAGCGAGUGGCCAGAGAACUGGAUAUUUCUGCCCUCCAGGAGAACAUCAUGAGUGUGACCUUCUGUAACUUGGACUCUGAAAGAUGUCCCUGCUGUCAGAACUUGGUUGACCCAGUCUUAUUGAAGGUAUUCAAGUUAGCCCAACUAAACACAGAAUACCUUCUUCACUCUCAGGACUUCUUCACAAGCAGCAUUCAAGCACUGGAGGAGCAGCUGCAGUUGACCAUGGAAGAGUUGGAGAAGAGCAGGGAGGAAAUAGCUAAGAAGACGGAGGAGCUGAAGGCAGUGAAAGAGGAGGGCCGACGCCGCAAGAAGAUGAUUGCCACUCUUCAGCUGCUCGUACAGGCAGGAGCCAAUAACUAUCACAAGUGCCGACUCUGUGACAAGGCAUUUGUGAAUUACUCCUUCCUGCAAGGACAUGUCGAACGGCGCCACCCAGAGGUCACUCGUGCUGAAAGAAAGACGAAGCAGCAGACCGAGCAGAUCGUGGAUGAGAUUGAGGAGCUCAGGGAGCGGUUGCGCAUCAGCCAGUCGCAGCUGGAAACUGAACGUGAGGCUGAUUCCAUCAGACGAGGCCAGGAAUCAGAAAAUAUCCGUAGGAGAGAGGAAGAACUGAGAAAGGAAUUUGAAAGUUGGAAAGAGGAAGAAAGGAAAAAGAUCUUUCAAGAAAUGGAUAGCCUGCGACAGCAACUUCUAAUGGAGUUCCAGGGCAUGGCAUCAAAGAACCUGUCUAUUGAAGCAAAACUACAGGAGAUUCAGUCAAGAAGUCCAGUUAUUUCCAAAGUGGAGACAUUUCAUGAGAAGGAUCAAACAGACGAACUGAGAAUCUUGAGGGAGAGGUAUGAGAAAUUGAAAAAGGAAUCCAAAAAAAAAUUUAAAGAACUUCAAGCUGAGCAUGUGACUGAACAGGAAGAGAUGAGGACUGAAAAUGAGAGGCUGAGGUCUACUUUAUCAGAAGACCAGCGAACAAUGUCGGAAUAUUUCCAGAAACAAAUCAAUACGCUCUCUGCAAAGGUCAAAGAGCAGAGUGCGGUCAUCUCAUCUCAGGAGAAUCAGAUCAAGAAUCUUUCUGCUCAACCGAUUCAAGCUGCUGCCGAGAGCCAAGAUUCAGAAUCUGAGAAAGAUGACGAUUUGGAGAGUACACUAGACCGCAAACAGCAGCUCCUGGACACCCUGAGGCAGAAUCCAAAAUUCAUCAAACAAUUUCGCCCCAUCCUGGAAGAGUCUUUACAGGAGAAGUUGGAAAGCAUGGGCCUUAAAAAGGGUUCAAAAGGAAUCCCAGCUCAGACCAUGAAGAACAUGAGCUUGACAGUGGAGAAACAACGCGAGAGCAAGGCCAAGCACUUCCGUGAGUUCACCAGCCUCCGCAAGCGCUUUGCAAAGAUUGUCAUUGAGAAGGUUAAAGAGAAGCAACACAGCGAAGGUUACACCUCCCCCCCACUUCAGUCCGGUAAAGCGCAGAGACGCACCAGCUCAUCACCGAAACCAGUGGCUAACAGCAAGCGCCCUCGGGCUGUCUUGUCAAAGCCGUCUCGAGUGAUUGACCCAGAGUUCUGCCAGACUGAAACACCCAAGCCUGCUGCACAGCGCUCAGCUGCCAGUCCUUCCCAUUCAGCUGCACUUAGCACCAGCACGCCUCCGUUCUCUUCUGAUGAUGAGUCCAUCGUGGACAGCGCCUAUGUCACCAGUGUGGGUGUCAAGGACGCACCAAAAGUUAACGUCAUCCUGUCUAGCCAGAAGCAGAACCAGGCUACUGUGAGUGACGAUGACAACUGGUCAGACACGGACAUCUCGACUGGGGCCCCAAGUCCACCUGCAGCCCCCACAGUCCGCAGCCCACCAGGGACUAUGGUUCAAAGUUUGGCUAGGACUUUAGAGAAUCAGCUGAGUUCAUCAGCGAAGAAACCCAUUGGGGGCGUUAAACUCCUGCCUGCAUCACAGGCUGCUCUUCGAACCUCCCCAAAAAACAGCACCAUGGUGAAGAAGUUGCAGUUGUCAGACGAUGAGGAGAGUGAGCUUGACAUCUCAUCCAUAGAGGAUGUGUCGGAAGAGUUUGCCUCUAAAGUGCAGAUAAUGAAGCCUGUGCCCAUGCCAGCACCGAGGCAAAGUACUGAGCUGUCUCUUUCUCAAGGAACCAGUGUCUGGAGCUCGUUGGCCAGCAGAGGGGCAGGGCAAAAGGAGGCCAUCGUGGCAGCUUCACUGAAAAGCAGCAGUUUUGCCACUGUGACAGACAUCAGUGACUCCGAACUGAACUUCCCCUGACCACUGGGCAAGAUCCGCUUCAGCUGAGAGAACCGCUCCAGUUUGGCCUUGCUCCUCCAGCAAGUGACCCCUUGGACACAGCAGAUAUGGAAAAUCUGCAGAUGCUGGACAUCCAAAGCAACACACAGAAAAUGCUGGAGGAGCUCAGCAGGUCAGGCAGCAUCAACGGAAAAGAGUAAACUAUUGACCUUUUGGGCCAAGACCCUUUAUAAGGAUGCUACUGCCUGUCUAGUAACUGCAAGCAAACUGCGUGCAAGACUACACUGGACUGUAAUGUGGAACACAUACCAAUCCUCAUAGAGGGAUCAGAAGUAGAGAGAGUGAGCAGUUUCAAGUUCCUGGGUGUCAAGAUCUAUGAGGACCUAAUCUGGUCCUAAUAUACUGAUGCAGUUAUACAGAAGGCAAGACAGCAACUGUACUUCAUUAGGAGUCUGAAGUGAUUUGUUAUGUCAACAAAUACACUCAAAAUCUUCUAUAGUUGUACUGUGGAGAGCAUUCUGACAGGCUGCAUCACUGUCUGGUAUGGAGAGGCUACCGCACAGGACCGAAAGAAGCUGCAGAAGGUUGUAAAUCUAGUCAGCUCCAUCUUGGGUACUAGCCUACAAAGUACCCAGGACACCUUCAAGGAGCGGUGUCUCAGAAAGGCAGCAUCCAUUAUUCAGGACCCCGAGCACCCAGGGCAUGCCCUUUUCUCACUGUUUCCAUCAGGUAGGAGAUACAGAAGCCUGAAGGCACACACUCAGUGAUUCAGGAACAGCUUCUUCCCCUCUGCCAUCUGAAUCCUAAGUGGACAUUGAACCCAUGAAUACUACCUUACCUUUUUAAUAUACAAUUAUUUCUGCUUUUUCACGAUUUUAAUCUAUGUACAUAUACUGUAAUUGAUUUACUUACUUCUUUUAUCAUUAUUAUUAUUUUGUUUUUUCUUUUUCUUCUUCUACUACUAUAUUAUGUAUUGCAUUGAACUGCUGCUGCUAAG